rnacentral:rRNA from 1 species
UACGUAGGGUGCGAGCGUUGUCCGGAAUUAUUGGGCGUAAAGGGCUCGUAGGCGGUCUGUCGCGUCGGGAGUGAAAACUCAGGGCUUAACCCUGAGCCUGCUUCCGAUACGGGCAGACUAGAGGUAUGCAGGGGAGAACGGAAUUCCUGGUGUAGCGGUGGAAUGCGCAGAUAUCAGGAGGAACACCGAUGGCGAAGGCAGGUCACUGGGCCGCAACUGACGCUGAGGAGCGAAAGCAUGGGGAGCGAACAGG